rnacentral:rRNA from 1 species
GCCUACGGGGCGCAGCAGUAGGGAAUCUUCCACAAUGGGCGAAAGCCUGAUGGAGCAACGCCGCGUGGGUGAAGAAGGUCUUCGGAUCGUAAAACCCUGUUGUUAGAGAAGAAAGUGCGUGAGAGUAACUGUUCACGUUUCGACGGUAUCUAACCAGAAAGCCACGGCUAACUACGUGCCAGCAGCCGCGGUAAUACGUAGGUGGCAAGCGUUAUCCGGAUUUAUUGGGCGUAAAGGGAACGCAGGCGGUCUUUUAAGUCUGAUGUGAAGGCCUUCGGCUUAACCGGAGUAGUGCGUUGGAAACU